rnacentral:misc_RNA from 1 species
UCUCCGUUGGUGAACCAGCGGAGGGAUCAUUACCGAGUUUACAACUCCCAAACCCAAUGUGAACGUUACCAAACUGUUGCCUCGGCGGGGUCACGCCCCGGGUGCGUCGCAGCCCCGGAACCAGGCGCCCGCCGGAGGAACCAACCAAACUCUUUCUGUAGUCCCCUCGCGGACGUUAUUUCUUACAGCUCUGAGCAAAAAUUCAAAAUGAAUCAAAACUUUCAACAACGGAUCUCUUGGUUCUGGCAUCGAUGAAGAACGAGC